AGUUCACUCAGUCCAAAUCCUGUGACAAUGGAACGUGGAAGAAGAAUCUCGGACUGGUGCUUAUUUGGAUGGUGGGCUUUUGUUGGCGGUGCUGGUUUGUUUUUAGCUUUUGCACCAUUAUUCAAUGAAGUUAGAGAAUUACCACUGCCAAUGUGGUUAUUUUAUGAUUGGUCACCAGAUGAAUAUUACUAUCCAACUGUUGCGAUCCAAAGUUGUGCACAAGUCUUUAUGACUUCUAGUUUCGCUAAUAUUGAAAUGUAUAAUGUUUGUGCAAACGUAUUAAUGACACACCAAUUUAAUUUACUUGGUGAGGAUUUUACUUAUAUUAUUCCUAACGCUUUAUUGCAGUGUGGUAUGCCUCAAGAAGAAAUUGAUGAGUAUCUAAAAGAUAAAGAAAAGUAUUUUUAAAUACUUGCUAUAAAUUAAUUAUUUGUUUUGCUUUAAAAUUUUAGCUCACGUUAUAUUGUAAAGAUUAAUAAGUUGAAAGAUACUGACAAGUUUCAAAAAGUGGCCAUAUCCAAUUUUAAAAUGUGUAUCAAACAUCAUCAAGAAUUACUAAAUUUCAGAGAUGAAUUUUAUUCUUUUAUUUCUCCGAUUCUUGCAGUUGAAGUGAACUUUUUAUUUGUCUACAUGAUUUUUGUACUUUUCACAUGGAUAACUACUGAUAACAAAGCAUUAUAUCCGGCAUUAUUUCAAUACUUCUUUGGAAUUGUUGGUCAAAUUUACAUCAAUACAUUAGCCGGCGAACAAUUGA